UUCAAUCUUUGAUUCCGUCGAAGCAGCAACGAAACUAGAAUUCCGAUCCGAAAGAUGUAGUGGAGAUUAGCAAUAGGACAAACAGGAAGUCCCGAUCUACACUGAAAUGCUUUCAUACUCACAGUUUUAAUUGGCUCAAACUUUGCUGUGUCAAAGAAGGAGCAACAGUUUUGGAGACAACCGAGCUCUGAAAGGGAAAACGAGCCCGAAUCGAGAACUUAGAAGGAAAGAGACCCACUGAAAAAAUAUGUUCAAGAGGGCGUCAAAGCUGACGCUUAUCUGCGCCUCAUUUGCCACAGGCAGCAACAAAAGCCUCAUCAAUUUCAAAGACCUCGACCGUCGCAGCCAAAGAUUGAACCACUGACAGCUGUCUGCGGGAGGAGAAAAUAGGAAAGAACUAGAGUCCCAUUUCCGAAAUGCAAAUGAUAUGUGGUAGAGACCCGACUGCAAGAUACUCUACUCCACUUCCAUUAUUUCCCACCGAAGAGGGCAUUUUCAGAUCAGCCCCAACCGUUGGCAGAAGCCACAUACCCCUCUGAGCUCUGCAAAUAGCCAAAUUAAGAGGGAGAACCGUGGACACUGGCGCGCCAAAGUUCACUCAACUUUCAACUCGUAAUUUGUCAUUGUGCCAGGCGCCGUGAGUAGCCGACUAAAAACGACCCCCGACAGCUGCCACCGCCCCCACUUGCCACCCUUCCCACUUUGUCCCCACCGGGUUUCCUUGGAACUGGCGAAAAGUGUUCACCAGCGAUGACGCUGGCCACAAUAAAUACGAAAAUCGUUUGCAACAGGCGCACAUUUCACCAACGUUUCCAGUACCCCA